AAACUCAAAGGAAUUGACGGGACCCGCACAAGCAGCGGAGCGUGUGGUUUAAUUCGUUGCUACACGAAGAACCUUACCUGGGUUUGACAUAUAGGUUGUAGGGAACUGAAAAGGGACCGACCCUUCGGGAGCCUAUACAGGUGUUGCAUGGCUGUCGUCAGCUCGUGUCGUGAGAUGUUCGGUUAAGUCCGCUAACGAGCGCAACCCUCGUCGUAUGUUAUAUGUGUCAUACGAGACUGCCGGUAAAAAGCCGGAGGAAGGUGAGGAUGAUGUCAAGUCAGCAUGACCUUUAUGUCCUGGGCUACACACACGCUACAAUGGCCAACACAAUAGGUUGCUAAGCCGCGAGGUGGAGCCAAUCCUCAAAGUUGGUCUCAGUUCAGAUUGCAGGCUGCAACCCGCCUGCAUGAAGAUGGAGUUGCUAGUAACCGCAGGUCAGCUAUACUGCGGUGAAUACGUUCCCGGGUCUU
rnacentral:rRNA from 1 species